rnacentral:rRNA from 1 species
GACGUAGGAUGCAAGCGUUGUCCGGAUUUAUUGGGCGUAAAGAGCGUGUAGGCGGCCAGACAGGUCCGUUGUGAAAACUCGAGGCUCAACCUCGAGACGCCGAUGGAAACCAUCUGGCUAGAGUCCGGAAGAGGAGAGUGGAAUUCCCGGUGUAGCGGUGAAAUGCGCAGAUAUCGGGAAGAACACCCGUGGCUAAGGCGGCUCUCUAGUACGGUACUGACGCUGAGACGCGAAAGCGUGGGGAGCGAACAGG